AGGUGCGAUCAUACCAGCACUAAUGCACCGGAUCCCAUCUGAACUCCCCAGUUAAGCGUGCUUGGGCGAGAGUAGUACUAGAAUAGGUGACCUCGGCGAAGUCCUCUUGUUGCACCUC
rnacentral:rRNA from 2 species